rnacentral:tRNA from 1 species
UGGCUCAGAGGUUAAAGCAUCUACCUGCAAUGUGGGAGACCCAGGUUCGAUCCCUGG